GAUCAUACGUGUGCGACAUCAAACCUGUGGGGGGGUCACACGUGUGCAAAGCCAUACUUGUGCAUGCAAGGUCAUACGUGUGCAAGUUCAUAUGUGUGUACGUGGGAUCAUACAUGUGCAGGAUCAUACGUGUGCGAGGUCAAACCUGUGUGUGUGGGGUCACACGUGUGCAAAGCCAUACGUGUGCGUGCAAGGUCAUACGUGUGCAAGACGGUAAGCGUGCACGCGAGGUCAUACAUGUGCGAGGUCACACAUGUGCGUGCAGGAUCAUACGUGUGCAAGAUCAUACGUGUGCGACGUCAAACCUGUGGGGGGGUCACACGUGUGCAAAGCCAUACGUGUGCGUGCAAGGUCAUACGUGUGCAAGGCGGUAAGCGUGCGCGUGAGGUCAUACAUGUGCGAGGUCACACAUGUGCGUGCAAGGCCAUACGUGUGCAAGUUCAUCCGUGCUCACGUGGGGUCCUACCUGUGGGUGGUGGUGGCUCUGCGUGUCGACACGCGUGCACACGUGUGCUUGCACACGCGUGUGCUGAUUCCGUGUGCGCCGGCAGUUCCGGGACCCGGUGCACGGAGAGUGGUUCGGUUACCUGGCCUACGAUGGCAGCGUCGCCCUCAGCAUCAAGGGGGGGCCGUACAAAGGCUGCUUCCACCUCCCGCGGGCGCUGCUGAUGUGUGAGGAGCUGCUGGAUGAGCUGCUGCCCCACUACCAGUAGAGGGCGCAGAAACCCCAAAAAGGGCAGAAAUUGCCCCAAAAUGGGUCCCAAAAUCCCAAAAGGGUCCCAAAAAACCCUAAAAGGACCCAAAAAAACCCAAAAAUGGCAGAAAUUGCCCCAAAAAGGACCCAAAAAAAGGCAAAAAGGACCCAAAAAAAGCCCAAAAUUGGCCCCAAAAGGGCCCACAAAAACCCCAAAAAGGGCAGAAAUUGCCCCAAAAUGGGCCCCCAAAAUCCCAAAAGGGCCCCCAAAAAACCCUAAAAGGGCCCCAAAAAACCCUAAAAUGGCAGAAAUUGCCCCAAAAAGGGCCCACAAAAACCCCAAAAAGGGCAGAAAUUGCCCCAAAAUGGGCCCCCAAAAUCCCAAAAGGGCCCCAAAAAAACCCUAAAAUUGCCCCAAAAAACCCUAAAAUGGCAGAAAUUGCCCCAAAAAGGGCCCCCCAAAAACCCCAAAAAGGGCCUCAAGAAACCCCAAAGGGCCCCAAAAACCCUAAAGAGAGAAAAAAAAACCCUAAAAGGACCAAAAUUGCCCCAAAAAGGACCCAA
rnacentral:lncRNA from 1 species